rnacentral:tRNA from 1 species
UGGAUUCUGGCUGGCGAGGCCAGCGGCGACGUGCUGGGGGCGCGGCUGAUGGCGGCGUUGCGUCGGCGGGACCCGAC